GACGGUGACUCCACAACCCAGGUGGGGUCUCAGACUCUUCCCUGGAAGCUGCCUGAGAUGAUAUUUUGCUUUCAUGGUAAAUUGUAUCCUACUGAAUGCACCUGAGACUCAUCCCAGGCAUCUCCUGGAGUCUUUUCACUCCUCAAGGGAGCCGAGAUCCCAGGGAGCAGCUCCAGACUCUUCCAAGGGUACCAAAGUUACCUGAGAUGAUUUUUAUUUUUUCUUGUGCAUCCUGAGUCUUUCAGGAUCUACCUGAGACUCCUCCUAGGAUUCUCCUGGAGUCUUUUGAUCUCUGAUUUUGGGACCUGAGUUGCUCACCGUGGGCCCAGAAUCUCCAAGGAAGGUUUCCAAUAUGGUUUUUUUCCUUUGGAGGUAAAUUUUUGCUCUGGAAUCCACUUGAGACUCCUCUCAGGUGCGUCCUGGAGUCUUCACAUCUCCUCAAGGAAGAUGAGUUCCCUGAAAGCACCCCCAGAUUCUUCCAGGGAAGCUUCCCAAUAUGUUAUUGCUUGUUUGGAAUUAGCUGUCUAUUCUGUGAUGCACUUGAAACUCCUCCUGACAUCUCUCAGAGUCUUUUUGUCUAUUGAUUUAGACAAUUGAUAUCCUGGGUAGAAGCUCCAAGUCAAGUUCCUGAGAUGAUUUUUCUGUUUUUUCCAGCUGGACCCUUCUCAAACAUUGCCUGGAGUCUUUGUCUCUGAUUUGGGGACCCGAAAUCCCAGAUCCUGCAUCUUCAGGAUCUACCUGAGACUCCUCCCAGGCAUCCUCCAGAGUCUUUAUCUCUGAUUUUGGGAUCUGAAUUCCAGGAUAUCAGCCUGAGACUCCUCCAAGGCAGGUCUUGGAGGGCCUUCAUCGGGGGUCUUCAGUGGUCUUCUCUGUCUCGACCUGCAGUGUUUUGAGUGACUGCCUUAUGAAUUUCUUUAGGACAAUGCUCCUGGUUGUACAUCAACCCGGCACUGCCUGCUCAGCUGCUUCAGCUCCCUUCAUUGUUUCCUCACCUUGCUUGGCUGAUUUCUUUAAAUUGAGGUGUAGCAAUUUUCCAUGGUACAUUCUGCUGGAAAAACGGUUAGUACUUGCUACAUCUCAAAACUCAGAUAUCAGCUGCUGCUGGGGCAGCUGCAGAUGGGAGGAGGAGGAGG